AAAAUAACGAAAAGAAAAGAACAGAAAUCCAAUUUCACCUUGAAAAAUCUUUGUAUUCUCAAUGUUUUCUUUCUAUUCUUUUGUGUAUUUUUCCCGUCCCCCCUUUUACAGAUUUAAAAGGGCCUUUUAUAGGCCGAAAAGAAAAUAAAUCGAGGGAAAAAAAAACAAUAUUGCUUGCUGUUUUUUUCUCUUUGGACUCCUUGAGUCCGUUUUUCAGGUGUUCGUGGAGAGUUUGGCGCGCAUGGAGGCCGAAACGUGCGGCGAUCGGGCGUUGGGCGCGGCGUGGGUGCUGUUGCGGCGCUGAGGCAGAUGCGGCUAGGGUUUUCUUCUUUUGUUUUUUUUUUUGUGUUUUGGGCUGAUGUCUGUGUUGGGCUUAGGUUAGUUUUGUUAUUGGGCCAUUUAUUUGUUGGGCCUUAGACGAGUUUAGGCCUGCUAUUAAAAAACUGAAAUUGCCUGCUUUGUUUUUUGUUUGGGCCCGGGCAAUUUGGGCUUGUACAAUCUUUUUAAUAGAAAUGUUGACUAAAACGAUAAAUUUUUAAACAUAACAACC
rnacentral:lncRNA from 1 species